rnacentral:rRNA from 1 species
GACAGCAGUCGCCGCGGUAAUGCGUAGGUCCCGAGCGUUGUCCGGAUUUAUUGGGCGUAAAGCGAGCGCAGGCGGUUAGAUAAGUCUGAAGUUAAAGGCUGUGGCUUAACCAUAGUACGCUUUGGAAACUGUUUAACUUGAGUGCAAGAGGGGAGAGUGGAAUUCCAUGUGUAGCGGUGAAAUGCGUAGAUAUAUGGAGGAACACCGGUGGCGAAAGCGGCUCUCUGGCUUGUAACUGACGCUGAGGCUCGAAAGCGUGGGGAGCAAACAGGAUUAGAUACCCCGGUAGUCCCUGUCUCUUAUACA